rnacentral:rRNA from 1 species
CAACGUGGGGAUCUGCCCAGUAGUGGGGAACAACUCCUCGAAAGAGGAGCUAAUACCGCAUACGGUAGGUGUUGAGGAACACCAUACUAAAGCCGACGUAAGAAGGCGCUAUUGGAGGAACCUGCGGCUGAUUAGCUAGUUGGUGGGGUAAAGGCCUACCAAGGCGAUGAUCAGUAGCUGGUCUGAGAGGAUGGACAGCCACACUGGGACUGAGAUACGGCCCAG